rnacentral:lncRNA from 1 species
GCAACAGAUUCCAAAUGCAAAUAGCACACUUGAAAUGAACUCUGGACCUUUUAUAUGCUCCUUGUAAAUGGGAUAAUGAGGGAAUAACACACACCUGGCCAUGGAACAGCUGAGCAGCCAAUUGUCCCAUUACUUUUGGUCCCUUGAAAAGUGGGAGGCACAUAUACAAACUGUUGUAAUUCCUAUACCGUUCACCUGAUUUGGA